GAGAAGUUCCCUUCGGGGGAUAAGUAAAGUGGCGCAGGGGUGAGUAACGCGUGGAUAAUCUGCCCUUGAAUUCGGAAUAACAUCGCGAAAGCGGUGCUAAUACCGGAUGAUGUUGUGUUUUCUGCGGGGAAUGCAACCAAAGAAUGCCUCUUCAUGAAAGCAUUUGUUUGAGGAUGAGUCCGCGUCCCAUUAGCUAGUUGGCGGGGUAACGGCCCACCAAGGCAGUGAUGGGUAGCUGGUCUGAGAGGAUGAUCAGCCACACUGGGACUGACACACGGCCCAGACUCCUACGGGAGGCAGCAGUGAGGAAUUUUGCGCAAUGGGGGAAACCCUGACGCAGCAACGCCGCGUGAGUGAAGAAGGCCGUUGGGUCGUAAAGCUCUGUCAAUGGGGAAGAAGUUGUGUGGUUCUAAUAGGUCCAUGCAUUGACGGUACCCAUGAAGGAAGCACCGGCUAACUCCGUGCCAGCAGCCGCGGUAAUACGGAGGGUGCAAGCGUUAUUCGGAAUUAUUGGGCGUAAAGGGCGCGUAGGCGGCCUGUUAAGUCAUAUGUGAAAUUUUGGGGCUCAACCCCAACGCUGCAUGUGAUACUGGCAGGCUUGAGUAUGGCAGAUGGAAAGCGGUAUUCCUGGUGUAGCGGAUGAAAUGCGUAGAUAUCAGGAGGAACACCGGUGGCGAAUGCGGCUUUCUGGACCAAUACUGACGCUGAUGCGC
rnacentral:rRNA from 1 species